UCCUGUUACAUGAUUUGUCCC
rnacentral:piRNA from 1 species